UACGUAGGGGGCAAGCGUUGUCCGGAAUCAUUGGGCGUAAAGAGCGUGUAGGCGGUUCGGUAAGUCGGCUGUGAAAGUCCAGGGCUCAACCCUGGGAUGCCGGUCGAUACUGCCGGACUAGAGUUCGGAAGAGGCGAGUGGAAUUCCCGGUGUAGCGGUGAAAUGCGCAGAUAUCGGGAGGAACACCAGUGGCGAAGGCGGUUGCCUGGAGCUUUGCUGACGCUGAUGCGCGAAAGCGUGGGGAGCGAGUCCGG
rnacentral:rRNA from 1 species